rnacentral:rRNA from 1 species
UACAGAGGUCCCGAGCGUUGUUCGGAUUCACUGGGCGUAAAGGGUGCGUAGGUGGUGAAGUAAGUCGGAUGUGAAAGCUCCGGGCUCAACCCGGAAAUGGCAUUGGAAACUACUUUGCUUGAGGUUUGGAGGGGGGACUGGAAUUCUCGGUGUAGCAGUGAAAUGCGUAGAUAUCGAGAGGAACACCAGUGGCGAAGGCGAGUCCCUGGACAACACCUGACACUGAGGCACGAAAGCCGGGGGAGCAAAC